CCACAUUUAGUUUCAACCAUUUCACCCACCUUUCCUCCAUACUAUGACCUUACUUCCAUCGUCAUAUUCCUUACAAAAAAAAAAAUAAAUUAAAAUAAAAGUAAGCAGUAAGUUGUAUUGAAAAAAGGGUCGAAUUUUGGCCUUGCAUUUGACAUCUCCCGAAGCGAGCUCUGUUUUCUCACUUUGGAGCUCCCAAGGUGAGUUCCACAAACACGGACAAAUCUUCCAUUUUGGAUGUUGACUAGUGUGGUCCCCUUUUUCUUUUAAGACUUUCAGGAGCAGUUUCAUUUUUUUUUAUUUUUUUUUGCUUCGGCGUGUAUUCAUUGCACCUAAGAAAUUGAGAAUUUGUAAUUAUACAAUGAAGCUAACAAGUUUAGCAAAUAAGGGGUUGAUGAACCCCACAUUUAAUUUGCUAGCAUUGGUACUUAGAUU
rnacentral:lncRNA from 1 species